GGGUCGUUAGCUCAGUUGGUAGAGCAGUUGACUUUUAAUCAAUUGUCACAGGUUCGAAUCCUGUACGGACCCACCA
rnacentral:tRNA from 1 species